GUGGGACCACCCAAGCAGGACUUCUAGGAGGCACCUCUGUCCCGCCAGGAGGCCCAGGGACUGGAAGUGAAACAGGUGCCACAGGAGGAUUUUUGAGGACAACCAUUAUACCA